rnacentral:rRNA from 1 species
UACGAAGGGGGCUAGUGUUGCUCGGAAUUACUGGGCGUAAAGCGCACGUAGGCGGCUCUUUAAGUCGGGGGUGAAAUCCUGGAGCUCAACUCCAGAACUGCCUUCGAUACUGGAGAGCUCGAGUCCGGGAGAGGUGAGUGGAACUGCGAGUGUAGAGGUGAAAUUCGUAGAUAUUCGCAAGAACACCAGUGGCGAAGGCGGCUCACUGGCCCGGUACUGACGCUGAGGUGCGAAAGCGUGGGGAGCAAACAGG